UUUUUCUUAAAAAUGUAUCAGAACGUUUCAACGAUCAUCUAUCAUUCAAGCAGCAGGAGUCACGUUGACAAAAUGCAUUGUACACAGCGAGAUUCAACCACAGUAUUUUUGUUGACUUUUUUCGUUUUUGACUUAGGUAAAGCAACACCAUAAACGACUUUAUAGAUGUCAAGUGUGUUCUAAAUCCUUUGAUAUUCCAAUUAAUUGAUUUGAUUAUAUUGUGAAACACCACAAUCAGUCAGCUCAAUCGACCUCAAAUUGAGAAAGAGAAACUGAAUAUUCUUGUUCGGUUAAAACUAGAGUUAUGAAACCGGAACAACUCACGACUCAAGAAAAUAUUCAGCAAGUGGAGUCUCCUAUAGAUGAAGACAAAAAUCAACAGUUUUACAUCAAAGGCACUGUCAAUUUGAAUAUGAUGUUGAAUGACAAUGUCUUCACUCAAGAAUUUGCAGAUGUUAAACAAAUGGACGAAAUUGAUCAAGAAAUUCCAGAUAGUGUUAAAAAAAGUUUAUGUAUUUUAUGUUAGCUGCAAUCUAUAAGGAUAAUCUUUUAAACAUUGGGGAUACAUAAAACAAAGCUUAAGUUAUAUAAUUUAAGAUUUAUUUUUCGCUUAGUUUUUUUUUUUAUUUUCUUAUUAAUAACUUUUA